UACGUAGGGGGGCAAGCGUUUGUCCGGAAUCAUUGGGCGUAAAGGGUGCGUAGGUGGCGUGGUAAGUCGGGUGUGAAAUUUCGGAGCUUAACUCCGAAACUGCAUUCGAUACUGCCGUGCUUGAGGACUGGAGAGGAGACUGGAAUUUACGGUGUAGCAGUGAAAUGCGUAGAGAUCGUAAGGAAGACCAGUGGCGAAGGCGGGUCUCUGGACAGUUCCUGACACUGAGGCACGAAGGCCAGGGGAGCAAACGGG
rnacentral:rRNA from 1 species